UAGUGUUCUCAUCCACCCUUAUGUUUUAUACUCUUAUCCACCCUGCCAAUGUAUAUGGUAUACAAAUAUGUGCACUGUGUGUGGAGGCCAGAAAUACAUGUCCGUUUUCUUCCUUAGUCUCUCUCUACUUUUUCAGACAAGGUCUCUUUGUGUUAAGAAGAGAAUUCUUGAUGUUAAGGAAGACCUAACAAAGUGAAAGCAACCUCACAAAAAGGCAGGGUUUUUUUUUUGUUUUUGUUUUUGUUUUUGUUUUUUUUUUUAAAAGAGUGUCCCAUGACUUACACAGGGCUAACAAGCACACAGCAAAGCAGGACUUUCACCUAGUUUUUGAGCUAUAGUGUUUCACCAUAUUGCUGGGAGCUUGACCUUAUAAUUUGAUAGUUCAUAGCGCAAAGGGGAAAGGUGUGAUAGAGAUUAAGUCCAGGCAGGAAUCUGACAUUCAUUAAGUUAGGAAUUCCAGAGAUUGAGCUAAUAGACAUGCGCAGUAGAGUUUCAAUUCAUAAGGUGAUGGGGGAGAUUUACAGAAUAUUGGCUGUUUCUCACAUCAUUGAGCCUGGAGCUCACUGAUUCAGCUAGGUUAGCUGUCCUCCAUUUCUACCUUCACCUCUGGCUUUCUACGUGGCUACUGGGGCCACACUCAGGUUAUUAUGCCUUACUUGAACUCUCUGUGUAGAGAUGACUCUCAAACUCACAGAUACGAGCACGAACCCGUCUCCGCCUCUGCAGUACCAGGGUUAAAGACAUGUACCACCACACCUUGUAGCAUCAUUGUUUCGUGAGUCUCACAGACACUUCAAAUAUUCUAUCUUUGUUGAAUAUCUGUAAGUUUUUUUUUAACUUACUGGAAAAAUUCAAAUAUUCUAUUGUGAAAAGAAUUUUCAUUGUACAUAACUAUUUUUCCAUUCAAGUUAUUUGUUAUUUUGGUGUCUUUUUAAUAUGAUUUAUUUAUUUUUAUUUUAUGUGCAUUGAUGUUUUGCCUGCAUGUAUGUUUGUGUGAGGGUGCUGCAUCCCUUGGAACUGAAGUUACACGAAGUUGUGAGCUGCCAUGUAGGUAUUGGCAAUUUAACCCAGGUCCUACAGAACACUUAGCUAUCUUAACUGCUGAGCCGUCUCUCCAGCUCCUGCUUAGGUUUUUAAAGUAAUAUUUUAAAUUAAUUCUUUGAGAAUUUUAAACAAUGUAUUUAGAUCAUAUUUAAGCCCUUCAGCAACUAUUCUCAUAUCUACCCCCACCUUCCCACCCACCCAUCUUGCUGUUCACUCUGUUUCUUCUUCCUCUCCCCAGCAAAGUAAGUCCAAUGUGUAUUUACCAAAUAUUCUUGGAUGUGAGGCUUGCCUUGGAGAGUGGUCAGCCUAUAAGGUGUCAUACCCUAUACAAAAAUGGACUCUCCUUUCAGUAGCUAUCACAUCUAAUAGCUCUUCAGCUAGGAAUGAGACUUAAUGCCCAUUUCUCUCUGUAGUGGUUUGAAUAUGCUUGGCCCAGGGAGUGGCACCAUUAGGGAGUGUGGCCUUCUUGGAGGAAGUAUGUCACUGUGCGGGUAGGCAAUGAGACCCUCCUCCUAGCCUUGUGGAAGCCAGUCUUCUAUCGGCCUUCAGAUGAUGAUGUAAAACUCUAAGCUCCUCCUGGACUCUGCCUGCCUGGAUGUUUACAUGCUCCCACCUUGAUGAUAAUGCACUGAACCUCUGAACCUGUAAGCCAGCCCCAAUUAAAUGUUGGCCUUAUUAGAGUUGUCUUGGUCAUGGUGUCUGUUCACAGCAUUUAAAACCCUAUCUAGGACACUGCCCUUCAUGAUGAAAUUUUGUUUUGGCUUGGAACUUAUGUAGAUUUUGUGAUGUUGUCAUAAUCUCUGUGAGUUCAUAUGUGGAAAGGAUAUGUCUUUUUGUAAACACUUUUCUUAGAGUUACUCACAACCUUCGGCUCUUAGAAUUGUUCUACUUGCUCUUCCUUGAUAACCUUGGAGCCUGGGGGAGAAAGGGGAUGAUAAGAUGGCCCAUGUAGAGCUAAACACUCUGCAGUCUCUGUCCUUGACCACUUUUGAUUUAAGAUUGAAUUCACACUGUUGCCUAGGCUGGCCAGGAACUCUUUAUUUAGUCAAGAAUUUUUCU
rnacentral:lncRNA from 1 species